rnacentral:misc_RNA from 1 species
ACACUUGACUUUAUAUUUGGGGAUGACACAUCUACAAGAAUUCAUGUAGUGUUACUAUUGCUUGUGAAUUCUUUUAGGUUUGUAAGCAAAUAAGAUUUCGAUUGUGAUUGUUCUCUUGUUAUUUUGUUUAUCGGCUCUUUUGCAAAACUACACGAGAUUAUUGAUAGCCAUACUAUUAUUCUCCAUCUAUUUACACUCCUGCUCCUUUGAAG